UCUGAGGUUCCUGGGCAGGACCACUUCCUUGAUGGCCAAGAGAUGUGUCCUGCCCUUCAUUUUCCUGUGUCUUCAAGCACGCAAGUACCUUCCCUGGAGUAGAAAUGUGGAUGUCUUGGCUUGAUCGGUCAAGAGACAGAGGCCAACCAGGCUCAGGACAGCACCGAUGCUAUGUUCGUUGAAGGGCCCCAUUGUCAGGAUUAGAAUCAUCGCUGUCUCCCCUAAAUAGAUAAUCCCUCAAAAUCAUUUCCAUGGGGAUACCACAGGCAUUGAAAAUAAAUACUGAGCGUAGGGCAGAGAGAAGCCCCAAAUGACAGGGAGAGAAUCUUUUCCUCGGCGGGGCAACUUUCCUUUCCAGGGUCGUAGGGGAACUGGGGAGCAGGACUGCUCGCCCUUGGGUGGCAGACAGGUGCCAUUGUUUGGGACAAAGGCGAAAUCUGCUUUUCAAGGUAAAGUGGGUUCUUGCCUGAUCUAGAGUGAAUCAAGAUGGGUCUAAACUGCCCAGAGGGCCAUGGUGCCAGGGGCUGGGGCAGGUAUCUCUUGUAGCUGGAGCACUCCCAGGCAGGAGCAGGGCUCCGUGUCCCAUUGCUCAUCUAGGGAGGAAGGAUGUGAAAGGAGAGCCCAGGAGGGUGUGUAGUGAGUAAGAGACCAAAUCUGAGGGAGGAGCUGGGCGAAUGUGUUCAUCCUCCAGCACUGGCUCCCUGCUUCCCAGGUGCUUUGUCCCUCCCUCUCAGGUCCAGUCAUUUACCUAGUGGACCAUCCUCCGUGUCUUCUUCCGGAGAACCCUGGAACUCAGGGAUUCGCGCUCUGUCUUGCAGUCCUCCCUCAGCUGUCAUGGCCUUCUCCCAGGGAGGCUGGGUACCCCCUAUGGUGAGGAGGCAGCCCAGCUUUAUGCCUGGACUCCCACUGCACCCGAAGCAGGCCUUUGGGUAAAGUAGGCCAUUCCCUCUUUUCUUAACUCUUUGUCUUCACACUGUUUUUGUGUUCCCAAAGUCAACAGGACAAGGGUCUCUGAAAUAUGUCCUUUAAAAGUCCCAUGGUAGUUUCCUGCUGAUGUCACACACCCGACAGGAGUCCUGUGGCUCAACACUCCCUCAGCCCCUCCCACUCUGUGCCGGCCCACCCACCAUCUCCACCCUCUGGGGUGUGAGCAGAAACCAAGAGAAUCCAGACACAGCAAAGUUCUCUCCACACGUGUCUUGGGAACAGCUGGCAUGGAGUUAAACCUGCAGUGAGGAUUCUGUUCAGACACUUGAUGACACCUGCAUCUUUGGGUCUUCCUCGAUGUGGGAGACACAGCACAGAGGCAUGCAGACCCAAACAAGGCAGGUGGGUCGAGGUGGGCGGCGGACACAGUUUAGAUGCUGGUGUCUGAGAGAGGCUUGGAGAUAAUUACACAUGGCCAGAGACUCCAGUCUUUUAGAGAUUUCUUUAAAGUAUUCCUGCAUGGUGGGUGCGGUACCCCAGAAGGGGAGGUGAAGUGGCCACCUGCCCUGGUGCCUUGGAGGAGGAGGACACUGAGGGACGGGGAGAGAGCAGAGCUGCAGAGCUGGUUCACAGUGGUUCAACUCCAUUUUGGAGGCAAAAAGGAGUUUCAAAGAGGUAUCUAUGUGUGGGUCUGCUCUAGACAUCUCUGAAGGAUCAGGGAUGACCAUCCCCAGGAGCUCAGAUUGGGGGCACCAAAUACAAGGAAGCUUGUCUGUCCAGAUCCUAUAAUGUCUGUUCACCCCGCAGGCAAAACCCGGUCACCAGCUGGUGAGAUCUGACUACUCUCCCUUCCUCUCUGCUCUGCAGGGCUCCUGCAGUCCACCUUUUCUUUGAACCUGCCUGGGAAUGGUUGGACACAGGGAUUGCAUAGCAUAUUUUGUCCCUAGGCUCCCCAACAGCUGCCUCAGCCCUUAAAAGGGCUUAUCUCUGGAAGUUCUUGAAGCAUGGUUGUUAUCUGAACCCCUUGGCUCUGGAGUCCAGCACCCACAUUUCACAGAGGAGAAACCCAAGGCCCAGAAUGGCUAGGGGUUGGGCCCAGAGUGGUCACGAGUCAGGGGACCCAGGUCCUCUGACACCUUCUCCAAGCGGCUCUCCGAUGGUCACUAAGGCCUUCGGUCCACAGGCAACGAACUGAGUGAGGUGACAUGUGAGGUGACAGGCACAUGGUCCAAGGACUUGACCUUUGCUUCUAAGCACUCUUCCUGGGUUACCACACAGCUUCGCUUGUAAGUCCAUUAACCAGAGGUGAACACACUUCUCUGAAUACCCAAUGGGCUGUGAAGUGUGCCCAAAGCCCAUAAAAAUAUAAUUCAGGUCAUAAAUUUAAUACAGUCGGGCUGAAUGACUGUACUAGCUCUAUUUCUAACCACUUAAUUAGCAAUGGUUUCAUUUA